AUAGAAGAUGGGUUGCAGCUCAAUGAAAAAAGAAAAAAAAAAACCCCACUCCCAAAUUCGGUGGUGACCGAAGAAGAAGAAGAGAAGAAGAAAGAAGCUUAGGACGAAGGAAAUUGGUGGUCGAAAACAGUGUCGACGCCGUACAAACAAGGAUGUAGCUUAGGAAGAUCCCCACACCGAGACUACCCGCAUCACCUUUUGUCAAAGAGAGCAGGAAAAUCAAUCUCCGGUACAGGAUCCAAUAACACAAGAAUCUGACAUUUAAGGCAAGAAGAACACUAAGGAUCACUAGUUGGAAUGAAGACUAUUUCUUUUCUUUCCUUUCACAUUGAUACUCACUUGUAUAAGUUUGAUAGUUGAUGUUUUGGAGGUUUAAAGAGAAGUGACACAUUGUAACAAGGAUAGACAUGCAGGAUGAGAGUUUGGUUGGUUGUAUUGACACUGGUUGACCCCCUGCGAUCUGGCUAUUUACUGGGGAGAUUGCAGGUGAUAUAUGUAUAUAUGUGAACUCUGAAGCUUGAGAAAUUCUUUAAAUGCUAGAUAUUGUUUAUUUGUA